UCUUAUUAUUAUUUUUCUUUUUGGGUUGGAUGGGUAUGGAUAGAGAUAAUGGCCUACACUAGUAGACAUUUCUACAACCAUAUUCUUCUCAUCUUUCUUUCUCAGAUUCUUUCAUUGUUAGUGUGUCCAUGAAUCAACUCUUAUUACCUUCUUUUUCUAGUACUACUGCUACUGCUACUGCUACUUCUGCUGCUGCUGUUACUUAGAAAAAAUUAAAAGAAAAAAAAAAGAAAAACUACAACUUCUACUAUUCAAUACCUUAAUAAUAAUAGUAAUAAUAAUUCUUGGUUCUGUGUUGCGUUUGUUACUAAACUAGAUUUAUAUGCUGCUGAUAUAUACAGUCAAAAGAAAUAACCUUUUCAAACACAUUUACAUGGGUUCUUGAUUUUCCUGUUUUUCAUUUUCAAGAGUUUAAUAAAUUUUUCUUGAGGAUGCUUAAGGAUUAAAUUUUUGUUGUCAGAUUCUUUGUUGGAGAGAAGGGUUUCUUGAUUUAAUAACUGAAUUUCGAAUAUUUGUUGGUCCAUUUUGCGUUCUGGGUUUUUGGUUGCCGCUGGUGGAUAACAGGAUAAACAACCCAGUUCUGUUUGGAAUUAGAAACUUAGAAUCUCGAUGAUUCUUUGAUUCUUACUUGUGGGAUGUGCGAGUGAAUUUUUCUUAUCUUCUUUCAAUCUUGAAGGGUGAUGUUGUGCUGCUGUUGUGUCUUUGCACUCAAAUCUGGUUUCUUUAUUUCUUUUUUGUAGCUCCUGUUGGUGGAUAAGAUAGCAUCUUCUUCUCUCAAUAACCCACUUCUCCUUUUUGAUUCCACUUGUUUAUAGUGAACUUAGAGUUAGGUGGACUUUACUCUUUUAUUUUCUUUCCUUCCAUUUCUUGUGUCUUUUCUUAUUCUUCAAACUUUGGAUAUUUUUCACGUUGGGUUUUACUAGGCAGUUUCUCUAGAUUUGAUAGUAAGUCUUUUUCUCUCUAUCUCUCUCUGCCCUUUAUAUUUUCUACCUGAAUUAGCAGUAAGACCCACUUCACCUCGGGGUACUGUUUUUUGCUAGCUUUGCAUUGGCAACUGUCUUGGAUGAGUUUGCUCCAUGUAUUUGGGUUUGGUUUAAAGGUUGGGCAUCUACUUUGGUUGCUAUGUUGCUGGAUUGUAUCAGUAAUUUCAAUGAACUGGUUCAUUAAUGGUGAAAUUGUGGAGACUAAGACUGGUUUACUUGGUGAUGGUGGUGGCAAGAUGUGGCUUAAGUUUUGGGAGAAGAUCUCAAAGAGUAAUUGCAAGAUGCACCAGCACUACUACCAGUAUAUUGGGUCAAAGAGAGUAAGAAAAACAUGGUGGAGAAAACUUUUGAUGGCAUGGGUAAUUGGCUGGAUCAUGGUCUCUUUAUGGAUCUUCUGGUAUAUGAGUUCACAAGCCACUGAGAAAAGAAAAGAGGCCCUUGCAAGCAUGUGUGAUGAGAGAGCUAGGAUGCUACAGGAUCAAUUCAAUGUGAGCAUGAACCAUGUGCAGGCUAUGUCCAUUUUGAUCUCAACCUUUCACCAUGGCAAGAACCCUUCUGCUAUUGAUCAGAGGACUUUUGCAAGGUACACAGAAAGAACUGCUUUUGAGAGGCCCCUCACAAGUGGUGUGGCAUAUGCUGUAAGGGUGCUCCACUCUGAAAGGGAACAAUUUGAGAGACAACAAGGCUGGACUAUUAAGAAGAUGGAUACCCUCGAACAAAAUCCAGUUCAUAAGGAUGACUAUAUCCCAGAAUUAUUGGAGCCAUCCCCAAUUCAAGAAGAAUAUGCCCCUGUCAUCUUUGCACAAGAUACCAUUUCACAUGUGGUUUCUAUUGAUAUGCUGUCUGGAAAAGAAGACCGGGAAAAUGUCUUGCGUGCUAGGGAAUCAGGAACGGGAGUUCUGACUGCUCCUUUUAGGUUACUCAAAACUAACCGCCUUGGAGUUAUCUUGACAUUUGCUGUCUACAAAAGAGAUCUCCCCUCCAAUGCUACACCGAACGAGAGGAUUCAAGCAACUGAUGGGUAUCUUGGAGGAGUCUUUGAUAUCGAAUCACUUGUGGAAAAACUACUUCAACAGCUUGCAAGCAAACAAACUAUCCUAGUGGAUGUUUAUGACACUACUAAUGAGUCUCACCCCAUCAGCAUGUAUGGUUCAAAUGUGUCAGAUAAUGGGUUGCAACAUGUUAGCGCUCUUAAUUUUGGCGAUCCCCACAGAAAGCAUGAGAUGCAUUGCAGGUUCAAACAGAAAGCACCAUGGCCAUGGUUGGCAAUAACAACUUCAAUUGGUGUUCUUGUGAUUGUGUUACUUAUUGGACAUAUAUUCCACGCAACUGUAAAUCGAAUUGCCAAAGUUGAGGAUGAUUAUCAUGAGAUGAUGGAGCUUAAAAAACGAGCUGAGGCAGCUGAUAUUGCAAAAUCUCAGUUCCUUGCUACAGUUUCCCAUGAGAUAAGAACCCCAAUGAAUGGUGUUCUAGGAAUGUUACAUAUGCUUAUGGACACUAAUCUGGAUGUAACUCAACAAGAUUAUGUCAGAACUGCACAAGCCAGUGGAAAAGCUUUGGUCUCACUGAUCAAUGAGGUUUUAGAUCAAGCAAAAAUUGAAUCUGGUAAGCUUGAGCUUGAGAACGUGCAAUUCAACCUGCGGGCAAUUCUAGAUGACGUACUGCCACUCUUUUCUGAAAAGGCUCAAGUGAAAGGCGUUGAGCUGGCAGUUUACAUUUCUGAUAGUGUUCCUGAAUUACUAAUUGGCGAUCCAGGAAGGUUUCGGCAAAUCAUAAUCAAUCUCAUGGGGAAUUCGAUAAAAUUCACGCAUCAAGGACACGUCUUUGUCACUGUCCAUCUUGUUGAGGAGGUAAUCGACUCCAUAGAUGUGGAGACAGGAUCAUCAUCAAGGAACACUGUGAGUGGUUUUCCUGUAGCAGACAGACGCCGAAGCUGGGCAGGAUUUAGGACAUUCAGCCAAGAAGGAUCGAAUCGUGCACUCUUGCCAUCCUCUGACCAUAUCAAUCUAAUUGUGUCAGUUGAAGAUACUGGAGAAGGGAUCCCUCUUGAAGCUCAACCUCGCAUCUUCAUUCCUUUUAUGCAGGUUGGUCCAUCCACUUCCAGAAAAUAUGGAGGCACAGGCAUUGGCCUAAGUAUAAGCAAGUGUUUGGUUGGCCUCAUGAAUGGAGAAAUUGGGUUUGUAAGCAUACCAAGGAUCGGGACCACCUUUACAUUUACUGCUGUUUUUGCCAAUGGCUGCUCCAACACAAAUGAGUGCAACAGCCAGAAAAUCAGCAGCCAGUCUAACACCAUAACCUCAGAAUUUCGAGGCAUGACAGCAUUGAUUGUGGAUUCCAGGCCUGUUAGGGCCAAGGUUUCAAGAUAUCAUGUCCAGCGUCUCGGAAUGCAUGUUGAAGUUGUCUCUGACUUGAAUCAAGCCUUAUCUAGCAUAAAUAGUGGGAAUAUACUCAUUAAUGUGGUUCUUAUUGAACAAGAAGUUUGGGAUAAAGAUUCUAGUAUUUCAGCUCUCUUUGUUAACAAUACAAGGAAAAUUGAUCAUGGCGUUUCUCCAAAAUUGUUCCUUCUGGCUAAUUCUAUCAACUCUUCCAGAGCAAACGCUGUAGCUUCUGCUGUUUACACCCCAAGUGUCAUCAUGAAACCCCUGAGGGCAAGUAUGCUGGCUGCAUCUUUGCAGCGAGCAAUGGGUGUCGGGAACAAGGGGAAUGCACACAAUGGGGAACUAAGCAACCUUCUUCUGGGACGAAAAAUUCUUAUUGUAGAUGACAAUAGUGUAAACCUCAAAGUAGCUGCUGGUGCUUUGAAAAAGUAUGGAGCUGAUGUGGUAUGUAUAGAGAGUGGGGAAAAGGCAAUAAAAUUGCUUACCCCGCCACACCAGUUUGAUGCCUGCUUCAUGGACAUCCAGAUGCCAGAAAUGGAUGGAUUUGAAGCUACAAGGAGAAUUCGGGAUAGAGAACACAAUUUCAAGAAUUCUAUUCAAAGUGGAGAUAAGACAGUUGGAGGCUAUGAAAAUCUUCCAAAUUGGCAUGUGCCCAUUUUAGCGAUGACUGCAGAUGUAAUCCAGGCUACUCACGAGGAAUGCUCAAAAUGUGGAAUGGAUGGAUAUGUUUCUAAACCAUUUGAAGCUGAACAAUUGUAUAGGGAAGUUUCAAGCUUCUUCCAGCCAACCUCCGCUGUCAUUUUGUAGAGAGAAGUUAUCUUCAAGGCAUACUCAUGACAUUAGCGCGGAGCACCUUUCUCUGGGACGUUUUGGGAUAUGCUUGAAUACAUAAGGAGUUUCUCCCAAGAGGAAAAACAAAACAUGUGUUUUUGUUGCAGAGAGUGUAUAUAGAAAAGCCAUGAUUGAUUGGGGCCCGAGUUCCAUUGAUUGUUUUGUGAACCACGCACAGCGAAGUGACAGCAGUUCAUUUUUCCUUGUAAAGUUGAUCUCAUUAAGUAGGUGUUGGUUUAGAGUUUGGUUAUGGUGAGAGAUGUGCAGAGAGAAAAGCUUGUAGGAGGAUAGGACAAUCAGAUUUGAUUAUCUUUCUUUUUAAAGGAUUGAUCUAUUUGUACCAUAGAGAUUAGAGAUUAUUCAGUUUGAUAAGAAUGAAAGAUAGUUCUUCCACAAUGGAGGAGAGAAAUGCAUCAAUGUAUAUUAUCUCAGUAAUAAAAAGAAUGUCCAUGUGUAGCCA